rnacentral:rRNA from 1 species
GACGUAGGGGACCAGCGUUGCUCGGAAUUACUGGGCGUAAAGGGUUCGUAGGCGGUGCGGCAAGUCGGUAGUGAAAUCUCCAGGCUUAACUUGGAGGCUGCUGCCGAAACUGCUGUGCUAGAGUGCAGGAGAGGCGAGUGGAAUUACAGGUGUAGCGGUGAAAUGCGUAGAUAUCUGUAGGAACACCCGUGGCGAAGGCGGCUCGCUGGACUGCAACUGACGCUGAGGAACGAAAGCUAGGGGAGCAAACAGG